AGCACAGAAAAUGAAGCUAGUUAUGGCGUACCGCUGCUGCUCUAGUGCCGACACUGUGCGAGA
rnacentral:snoRNA from 26 species